rnacentral:rRNA from 1 species
UCCUUUGACGUUAGCGGCGGACGGGUGAGUAACACGUGGGUAACCUACCUAUAAGACUGGGAUAACUUCGGGAAACCGGAGCUAAUACCGGAUAAUAUUUCGAACCGCAUGGUUCGAUAGUGAAAGAUGGUUUUGCUAUCACUUAUAGAUGGACCCGCGCCGUAUUAGCUAGUUGGUAAGGUAACGGCUUACCAAGGCGACGAUACGUAGCCGACCUGAGAGGGUGAUCGGCCACACUGGAACUGAGACACGGUCCAGACUCCUACGGGAGGCAGCAGUAGGGAAUCUUCCGCAAUGGGCGAAAGCCUGACGGAGCAACGCCGCGUGAGUGAUGAAGGUCUUCGGAUCGUAAAACUCUGUUAUUAGGGAAGAACAUACGUGUAAGUAACUAUGCACGUCUUGACGGUACCUAAUCAGAAAGCCACGGCUAACUACGUGCCGCAGCCGCGGUAAUACGUAGGUGGCAAGCGUUAUCCGGAAUUAUUGGGCGUAAAGCGCGCGUAGGCGGUUUUUUAAGUCUGAUGUGAAAGCCCACGGCUCAACCGUGGAGGGUCAUUGGAAACUGGAAAACUUGAGUGCAGAAGAGGAAAGUGGAAUUCCAUGUGUAGCGGUGAAAUGCGCAGAGAUAUGGAGGAACACCAGUGGCGAAGGCGACUUUCUGGUCUGUUACUGACGCUGAUGUGCGAAAGCGUGGGGAUCCAACAGGAUUAGAUACCCUGGUAGUCCCCGCCCGUAACGAUGAGUGCUUGGUGUUGGGGGGGUUCCGCCCCUUAGUGCUGCCGCUUACGCAUUAAGCACUCCGCCUGGGGAGUACGACCGCAAGGUUGAAAACUCAAGGAAUUGACGGGGACCCGCACAAGCGGUGGAGCAUGUGGUUUAAUUCGAAGCAACGCGAAGAACCUUACCAAAUCUUGACAUCCUUUGACAACUCUAGAGAUAGAGCCUUCCCCUUCGGGGGACAAAGUGACAGGUGGUGCAUGGUUGUCGUCAGCUCGUGUCGUGAGAUGUUGGGUUAAGUCCCGCAACGAGCGCAACCCUUAAGCUUAGUUGCCAUCAUUAAGUUGGGCACUCUAAGUUGACUGCCGGUGACAAACCGGAGGAAGGUGGGGAUGACGUCAAAUCAUCAUGCCCCUUAUGAUUUGGGCUACACACGUGCUACAAUGGACAAUACAAAGGGCAGCGAAACCGCGAGGUCAAGCAAAUCCCAUAAAGUUGUUCUCAGUUCGGAUUGUAGUCUGCAACUCGACUACAUGAAGCUGGAAUCGCUAGUAAUCGUAGAUCAGCAUGCUACGGUGAAUACGUUCCCGGGUCUUGUACACACCGCCCGUCACACCACGAGAGUUUGUAACACCCGAAGCCGGUGGAGUAACCAUU